rnacentral:piRNA from 1 species
UGCUGGGAAAUGCAGUUCUGUCUGUAAAA